AUGCGGCGGGCUCGGGGCGCGGCGCUGCCGGCGCUGGCCGCGCUGAUCAUCGUGGCUGUGGCCAGAGCCCAGGUACAGCAGGAGCCAUUCCUAGAGACCACCGAGGGCAUCGGCAUCAACAUCACCUGCUCACACCCCACGAUACAGAUGGGCGAAAGGAUCCAAUGGUACCGUCAGCUGCGGGACAAAGGCCCCGAAUUCCUUGUGCUGACAGUGAGAGACUCCAAGGCAGUGCCGGCCAUUGCAGGACAGCUGUGGGUGUCGGCAGACCGGCGCUCGAGCGCGCUGUGGCUCGGGCGGCCCCGGCGCGGGGACGCGGCCGUGUAUUACUGCGCGGCAUUCAUCCUUUCCCUGCACAUCAGUAACACCUCACGCGUCCUGAAAAGCAAACACAAGGGUUUGGCAACGCUGUAA